UAUACGUAAGGUAUCAUUAUCUCGGCGAUCAAUCCAAUCUGUAGAGAAAAUUAAGAAUAAUAAUAUCUUGUAACAGAAACAAACACAAAAAUUUGAUAACUGAGUUCACGGCUAACCGCUACGUCUCGGGGAAGGACUCUUGCUUCCAAGCUUAACUAUAUCAAAGAGGUUACACACACUACUAACUUGUGAUGUCCUUGGUUCUUUUUCAGAUUUUAAACACAAGAAGAACAAGAUUCAAGAACAACAAAGAGGAAGAAGAAAGCUUGCUUUGGAAGCUUUUUAUCUCUCUUCUCUAGAACUCUCUUUAGCUUGUCUUGUCACACAACUACCACAACUUCUCUUUGUAAGUU
rnacentral:sRNA from 1 species